rnacentral:rRNA from 1 species
UACGUAGGGUGCGAGCGUUUAAUCGGAAUUACUGGGCGUAAAGCGUGCGCAGGCGGUUUUGUAAGUCUGUCGUGAAAGCCCCGGGCUCAACCUGGGAAUUGCGAUGGAGACUGCAAGGCUUGAAUCUGGCAGAGGGGGGUAGAAUUCCACGUGUAGCGGUGAAAUGCGUAGAUAUGUGGAGGAAUACCGAUGGCGAAGGCAGCCUCCUGGGCCAACACUGACGCUCAUGCACGAAAGCGUGGGGAGCAAACAGG